rnacentral:lncRNA from 1 species
GAGAGGAGAGGAGCGAGCGACUCCUGCGCAAGCGCAGAGUGAAGGGCCGGGAACAGUGGAGGGUGAGGAAGACAAUGGGGAAGGACCCUGAGGCGGCCUCUGUGAGCCGACAGGAACACGUGGUCGAUCAGAGAGAGACUCGAGGUUUGUGAACGGAUGGGGAGGACCCUGAAAAGCACUGUGGAAUACAGGUUUCUAGUAACUUCAAAAUCACAUCAUUUGGACUGGGUAAGAAUUGCUGAAACUUUAAUGAAAAGACUGACUGGCUUAUAAAACUGCUAACCCAAAUAGAAUAAAAAUUAAUUGAAUACCGAGGAAAUACUUCACCAGGUUUGCAUACUUAAUCAGCCUAUACUGAAAUUGUUUAGAUAUACAAUUUGAAUGAACUCCAUGGUCUAAGUCAAAUUACCUGUGAUAACCCAUCAGUUAUCCAUGCUAUGUGCCCAAUUUGGAGAAACAACUGGCACCCAAGAGGACAUAAGUCCGAUGUUAAGCGUGGACUCAUGGAGAACCAAGACGGCUGCCUUGUCCUUCGUGAGUCCUUAAAGCUUUUGUUAUUAAAAGUUAUGCAUUCCAUGACUCAUCCUGGAAAAGAUAAAAUGAUCCAAAUUAAAUAUGUUGGUGUGGUGACUUAUAGAUUGUUAAAAUCGUUUAUAAACAAUGUUUAGUUUGUCAAACCCAUACUACUGGGAAGUCAAUCAAAGCUUCAUGUACAUUUGGCUACCUGAUGAGCCAUUUAAACAUUUAUA